rnacentral:rRNA from 1 species
AGAGUUUGAUCCUGGCUCAGGACGAACGCUGGCGGCGUGCCUAAUACAUGCAAGUCGAGCGAGUCUCUUCGGAGGCUAGCGGCGGACGGGUGAGUAACACGUAGGCAACCUGCCUCUCAGACUGGGAUAACAUAGGGAAACUUAUGCUAAUACCGGAUAGGUUUUUGGAUCGCAUGAUCCGAAAAGAAAAGGCGGCUUCG